rnacentral:rRNA from 1 species
CACGUAGGGUGCGAGCGUUGUCCGGAAUUAUUGGGCGUAAAGGGCUCGUAGGCGGUCCGUCACGUCGGGAGUGAAAACUCAGGGCUCAACCCUGAGCGUGCUUCCGAUACGGGCGGACUAGAGGUAUGCAGGGGAGAACGGAAUUCCUGGUGUAGCGGUGGAAUGCGCAGAUAUCAGGAGGAACACCGGUGGCGAAGGCGGUUCUCUGGGCAUUACCUGACGCUGAGGAGCGAAAGCAUGGGGAGCGAACAGG